rnacentral:rRNA from 1 species
ACCGGCAGCUCAAGUGGUGGCCAUUUUUAUUUUUCCUCCCCCCUUCCCCCCCGGUUUGACCAUUCUCUCCAAAAAUCCCUCAUCUUAACUUGUUUACUCUCGGGAGAUACUAUUAGACUUGAGGUCGGGAGAGGUUAGGGGUACUCCCAGGUUAGGGGUGAAAUCCUGUGUUGAUGGUGUUUUUUUGUAUUUGUUUUUCGUCGGGCUGGAACGAACCUGACGGUGAGUAACGAAAGCCAGGGGCGCGAACCG